rnacentral:lncRNA from 1 species
AUGCGGAGUGACAACGCGGGGCGCCCUUCAGGACCACCGCCUCCAGACAGGAGCCACCCGCACUCUGCUUCGGUUUCUCUCCUCUGGGCGGUGCAAAGGCCCCGGGGCGUAAGCUCAGGGCGGGGCGCUGAGUCAGCGGCCGCCGGGCUCCUAGCGUCUCAGUGCCCGCUUCAUCUUUCUAUUCUGCAGCUGCGCAAACUGCGGCUCAAACGACAGAGAACUUCCCCGAGGCGGAAAAGCUGCCUCGUCUGCACCCGAAGCCCCGCACGGUGCGCAGGCCCGAGGACGGCCGAAGGCCAGGAGACCAGCCCUGGUGAGUGCCAGGGAGCCGCGGACCCCCGCCGAGGCCUAGAGAGGCCCGGCCCCACCCUAGCUCCCGCCCACGCCCGCUUCCGGGCGGGCGCACUUCCGCUUCCGGCGGCGGGCUGCGGGGCUCCGCGGCGGAGGUGGUUUCCUUUUCCUGGAGCCGCUGGUGGGUUUCCGAGCGUCCUCGUGAGCUGUCCCCGCCCCGCCCCCUCGGAGGUGGCACCUGCGCAGGAGUCUGAGACAUCCUUUUCCAGAGUUCCAGAAUGGAGACUGAAGGGUACCCAGAAACACAAGGAAAUAGAGACGUCCAUAAUGAUCAAAUAAGGUCGUCGCCAAAUGAGAUAAUGGCUGAGGAGCCGGAAGUUGUCCUAAUAGGGCCUCCCCAGAUCCAGGUUCCACGAGAGCCUUCUGGGCUUCCACCAGAGAGCCGUGAUGAGGACUCUGUCGAGGACCUGGAGCCCACGCCACGAAGGAACCCUCCCAAUGCUGCAGUCUCCAGGCAGAGGUUCAGGAAGUUCCGCUAUGAGGAUGCGGCUGGGCCCAGGGAGGUCCUCAGACAUCUCCAGGAGCUUGCUGGACAGUGGCUGAGACCCGAUAUUCACACAAAGGAGCAGAUUGUGGAAAUGCUGGUGCAGGAGCAAUUCCAGGCUGUCCUGCCGGAGGAGCUCCGAGCUCGGGCGCAGAGAUGUCAGCCUGGGGUUAGGAUCACUGGCUAAAUCUCGCUGCUCGCUUCUUUCUCAGUCUACGUGUGAGAAGUAACCAAAGGUUCUCUGAUGGAAGAUCCAGCUGCCGUCCUGGGAAUCUGAACCUCGUCCUUCUUUGAGCUUGCCUUUGGUUGUAAUAAGAAUCAAUCAGAACCCCUGUCUGGACCUCUUUUUGGCUGAGGCAGCUCUAUUUCCUGGGACUGAACUCCAGAAGGAGUUUCUCUUCUCUCUUCUUAGGACAAUCAGCGUGCUGCUUGUUUUUGCUCUGCUGAAUGCCUCCUUUUUUUGCACUUUGUGACAUGCUUGAAUAUAUUAUUUUUAUGUAUCCAAAGAAGUAAUUGCUAUAACUAUCAGAAAUCUUGAUUCUUGUUGUGGUGGCAUGAAGGGGAGCUUCUGUAAUCCCACCGGUAAUUCCUUUGGGUUGUCCUUGAAAUAUUAAAGUUUGGUCCUUAAUAAAAAUGUCCUCUGGUGCUUUACCA